UUAAUUUGUUAUGUGUUCGAAGCGUUUUAGUAUUAUUUUACUCGCUUUAGUGUAUUGUGGCAGGAGUGUGCAUUGAUUGGGAGCAAUUAGGAACAAUGUGGAACAAUUGGGUUGAAAAAGGAGGCAAGAGGCAUUUUCUGCUCAACAGCGCCGGGGCGCUAUUCCUAAGCUUAAAAACAGCGCCGAGGCGCUAGUCCUCGGUCAACUCAGGAAGAGGCGCGCGCGUGUGGAGCAGUUAAGGGCUGGUGUUGACCAACAGUUGACUUCGUAUUUGGUGUGUUUUAGAAGCCUAAUUGGACUAGGAUUUGUGGAAUUGGGCAAGAAAAUAUAAAUUGGUUUAUUCUUAUUGAAUUGAGACAACUCUACACAAUUGAAGACUAGAGCAAGGAAGAAGAGCAGAUCUGAAGGCUACAACUUGGAGUUUUUCUUUCCCUUUAUUCUUUUAAUUGUGUAACUUCUAAAAGAUGAUUUAUCAAUUAUUUGCGGUUUUUAUUUCCGUUAUGAACUAAUUCCUUUUAUUAAGAUUCCAAUGGAACCUUUUAUGGUUAUGAGUU
rnacentral:lncRNA from 1 species